GGUUGAAGCUGGCCUCUCGGGGCAUGUGCUCGCCUUGUUCAUAUCCAUCUCACACCUGUGCACACUCGCGUGGGUCGGUCGGGUUCUUUUUUGCGCCCUUCCGAGCCGCGUCUUCUCACAAACUCUUCGUAUGUCUUCAGAAUGGUAUCAAUGCUAUAAAACGCAUCUUAUACAACUUUCAACAAUGGAUCUCUCGGCUCUC
rnacentral:rRNA from 1 species